UACGAAGGGGGCUAGCGUUGUUCGGAAUUACUGGGCGUAAAGCGCACGUAGGCGGACAUCUAAGUUGGAGGUGAAAGCCUUGGGCUCAACCCAAGAAUUGCCUUUGAUACUGGAUGUCUCGAGACCGGGAGAGGUGAGUGGAAUUCCGAGUGUAGAGGUGAAAUUCGUAGAUAUUCGGAAGAACACCAGUGGCGAAGGCAGCUCACUGGCCCGGUUCUGACGCUGAGGUGCGAAAGCGUGGGGAGCAAACAGGG
rnacentral:rRNA from 1 species